GGACUGAACAGCUGCGGGCGGUGUCUCGAAAGGGCCCGUCUGAGGAAAGUCCGAGCUCCACAGGGCAGGAUAACGGCUAACGGCCGCCGGGGGCGACCCCAGGGAUAGUGCAACAGAAAGAAACCGCCGGCUUUUGCCGGUAAGGAUGGAAAGGCGAGGUAAGAGCUCACCAGCGCACGGGAGACCGUGCGGCUCUGUAAACCCUAUCCGGAGCAACACCGUGGAGGGAACAUGGGCCUUUGGUCCGGCGCCGGCCCGGCGCGUUCCCAGGAGGUGGCAUGAGCCGGGCGGCAACGUCCGGACCAGAUAGAUGGCUGUUCACGACAGAACUCGGCUUAUAGGUCCCCUCG
rnacentral:RNase_P_RNA from 1 species